UAGGGAAUCUUCGGCAAUGGGGGCAACCCUGACCGAGCAACGCCGCGUGAGUGAAGAAGGUUUUCGGAUCGUAAAGCUCAGUUGUAAGAGAAGAACGUGUGUGAGAGUGGAAAGUUCACACAGUGACGGUAACUUACCAGAAAGGGACGGCUAACUACGUGCCAGCAGCCGCGGUAAUACGUAGGUCCCGAGCGUUGUCCGGAUUUAUUGGGCGUAAAGCAAGCGCAGGCGGUUUAAUAAGUCUGAAGUUAAAGGCAGUGGCUUAACCAUUGUUCGCUUUGGAAACUGUUAAACUUGAGUGCAGAAGGGGAGAGUGGAAUUCCAUGUGUAGCGGUGAAAUGCGUAGAUAUAUGGAGGAACACCGGUGGCGAAAGCGGCUCUCUGGUCUGUAACUGACGCUGAGGCUCGAAAGCGUGGGGAGCAAACAGG
rnacentral:rRNA from 1 species